CAGAGAAUAGUUUAAAUAAAAUAUUAAUUUUGGAGAUUAAUGAUAGAAAGUAAUUCUUUCUCUGA
rnacentral:tRNA from 1 species